AUUGAACGCUGGCGGCAUGCCUAACACAUGCAAGUCGAACGGUAACAGGCUUGGGUAACUGAGCGCUGACGAGUGGCGUACGGGUGAGUAAUACGUAGGAAUCUGCCUAUCAGUGGGGGACAACUUUAGGAAACUGGAGCUAAUACCGCAUACGUUCUACGGAGGAAAGGUGUGGAAACACAUCGCUGAUAGAGGAGCCUACGGCAGAUUAGCUAGUUGGUGGGGUAAAGGCCUACCAAGGCGAAGAUCUGUAGCUGGUCUGAGAGGACGGAAAGCCAGCAUGGGACCGAGACACGGCCCGGACUCCUACGGGAGGCAGCAGUGGGGAAUAUUGGACAAUGGGGGAAACCCUGAUCAAGCAAUGCCGCGUGUGUGAAGAAGGCCUUCGGGUUGUAAAGCACUUUUGUCGGGGAGGAAGGCGUGAUGGAAGUCACGAUUGACUUAACCCGAAGAAACAGCACCGGCUAACUCUGUGCCAGCAGCCGCCGUAAAAC
rnacentral:rRNA from 1 species